CUUGCUAGGUGGAUUAGUGGCGAACGGGUGAGUAAUACGUGAGUAACCUACCUUUAACUCUGGGAUAAGCCUGGGAAACUGGGUCUAAUACCGGAUACGACCAAUCUCCGCAUGGGGUGUUGGUGGAAAGCGUUAUGUAGUGGUUAUAGAUGGGCUCACGGCCUAUCAGCUUGUUGGUGAGGUAACGGCUCACCAAGGCGACGACGGGUAGCCGGCCUGAGAGGGUGACCGGCCACACUGGGACUGAGACACGGCCCAGACUCCUACGGGAGGCAGCAGUGGGGAAUAUUGCACAAUGGGCGCAAGCCUGAUGCAGCGACGCCGCGUGAGGGAUGACGGCCUUCGGGUUGUAAACCUCUGUUAGCAGGGAAGAAGAGAAAUUGACGGUACCUGCAGAGAAAGCGCCGGCUAACUACGUGCCAGCAGCCGCGGUAAUACGUAGGGCGCGAGCGUUGUCCGGAAUUAUUGGGCGUAAAGAGCUUGUAGGCGGUUUGUCGCGUCUGCUGUGAAAGGCCGGGGCUUAACCCCGUGUAUUGCAGUGGGUACGGGCAGACUAGAGUGCAGUAGGGGAGACUGGAACUCCUGGUGUAGCGGUGGAAUGCGCAGAUAUCAGGAAGAACACCGAUGGCGAAGGCAGGUCUCUGGGCUGUAACUGACGCUGAGAAGCGAAAGCAUGGGGAGCGAACAGGAUUAGAUACCCUGGUAGUCCAUGCCGUAAACGUUGGGCACUAGGUGUGGGG
rnacentral:rRNA from 2 species